UCUACGCCCAGCAACUACCGUUAACGCCCGCGUCAUCCGUAUUACCGCGAAGGAAGGCACAGAGAUGGUCGGGAACUAUUCUGCGGGCAACGUCAAUCGGUGCGGUUAUUAACCUGAAGACUUUACUCCGCGCUCAAACUACUAUAGUCACCGAAGGCCUUGGUGACACACGCUUCGGGGGUGAAUACGGCUAGAGCUCACAUGUGAAAUAUUGUAGAUGGGUGUAUAACCUAGGAGUAUAUACUGUCUUAUAAGGUGCAGCGCGCCACGUUAUACAUCUGGGGCAAUUUAAGAAUCCUGGGAUAUAUUAUUCGUUAUAAUAUGUUGUAUUUCAUUAGUUAUCAUUAGUGUUGGGAAUAAUAUCGGUUACUUUGAGAAAAUUAGAGUGUUUGAAGCAGGCUUAUUGCCUUGAAUACUGCAGCAUGGAAUAACAAUAUAGGAUUUCGGUUCUAUUUUGUUGGUUUCAAGGGCAGAAAUAAUGGGUAAUAGGCACAGUCGGGCGUGGAUAACCUGGUAUGCUAUGGUGGUAUGGAUGUACGGUUUAUGGCUG
rnacentral:rRNA from 1 species